AAUAGAUACCCUGGUAGUCCACCCGUAAACGUUGGGAACUAGUUGUGGGGACCAUUCCACGGUUUCCGUGACGCAGCUAACGCAUUAAGUUCCCCGCCUGGGGAGUACGGCCGCAAGGCUAAAACUCAAAGGAAUUGACGGGGACCCGCACAAGCGGCGGAGCAUGCGGAUUAAUUCGAUGCAACGCGAAGAACCUUACCAAGGCUUGACAUAUACGAGAACGGGCCAGAAAUGGUCAACUCUUUGGACACUCGUAAACAGGUGGUGCAUGGUUGUCGUCAGCUCGUGUCGUGAGAUGUUGGGUUAAGUCCCGCAACGAGCGCAACCCUCGUUCUAUGUUGCCAGCACGUAAUGGCGGGAACUCAUGGGAUACUGCCGGGGUCAACUCGGAGGAAGGUGGGGAUGACGUCAAAUCAUCAUGCCCCUUAUGUCUUGGGCUUCACGCAUGCUACAAUGGCCGGUACAAAGGGCUGCAAUCCGUAAGGUGGAGCGAAUCCCAAAAGCCGGUCCAGUUCGGAUUGAGGUCUGCAACUCGA
rnacentral:rRNA from 1 species